AUUGAACGCUGGCGGCAGGCCUAACACAUGCAAGUCGAACGGUAACAGGAAGCAGCUUGCUGCUUUGCUGACGAGUGGCGGACGGGUGAGUAAUGUCUGGGAAACUGCCUGAUGGAGGGGGAUAACUACUGGAAACGGUAGCUAAUACCGCAUAACGUCGCAAGACCAAAGAGGGGGACGUUAGGGCCUCUUGCCAGCGGGUGUGCCCAGGUGGGAUUGGCUAGUAGGUGGGGUGACGGGUGACCUAGGCGGCGAUCCGUAGCUGGUCGGAGGGGAGGAUCGCCGGCCUGGGAGCUUGGCCGCGCACAAUGCGCCUGCGGGACGGACCAGACGCCUACGGUGGGCAGCAGUCGCGAAUCUUGCGCAGUGGUCGGAAGCGUGAUGCAGCAGCGCCGCGUUUGUAAUGUCGGCCUUCCGGUUGUAAACCGCUUUCGGCUGUGACGAAGCGUGAGUGACGUUACUGGGUAAAGAAGCACCGGCUAACUACGUG
rnacentral:rRNA from 1 species